CCAGAUUUCCAGGUAUUCGCCUUGAAAAAGGAGGAAAGUCUGGGCUCUAAAAAAAUCAUGCAAGAGAAAGACUUGCAAAGAAGACUUUAGGGAAAGUAGACAGAGAAAAAAAAGUGUGCAAAGAGAAGAGAUUCUCGCAAAUUCAAAGUGAUAGGAAUUUGAAGCGAAACCCCAUGAAGAGCAAAACGCAAGUUCGUUGCUAGAUUCCUUUUGAGAGAAAGGAAGAAGAGAAAUGAAUACCCUAAGACAAAACCCAGCUUAUAGGAAAUCUGG
rnacentral:RNase_P_RNA from 1 species